rnacentral:rRNA from 1 species
GUGGCGAACGGGUGAGUAACACGUGAGUAACCUGCCCUUGACUCUGGGAUAAGCCUGGGAAACCGGGUCUAAUACUGGAUAUGACCUUCUGGCGCAUGCCAUGUUGGUGGAAAGCUUUAUUGCGGUUUUGGAUGGACUCGCGGCCUAUCAGCUUGUUGGUGGGGUAAUGGCCUACCAAGGCGACGACGGGUAGCCGGCCUGAGAGGGUGGACGGCCACACUGGGACUGAGACACGGCCCAGACUCCUACGGGAGGCAGCAGUGGGGAAUAUUGCACAAUGGGCGCAAGCCUGAUGCAGCGACGCCGCGUGGGGGAUGAAGGCCUUCGGGUUGUAAACCUCUUUCAGUAGGGAAGAAGCGAAAGUGACGGUACCUGCAGAAGAAGCGCCGGCUAACUACGUGCCAGCAGCCGCGGUAAUACGUAGGGCGCAAGCGUUAUCCGGAAUUAUUGGGCGUAAAGAGCUCGUAGGCGGUUUGUCGCGUCUGCCGUGAAAGUCCGGGGCUUAACUCCGGAUCUGCGGUGGGUACGGGCAGACUAGAGUGAUGUAGGGGAGACUGGAAUUCCUGGUGUAGCGGUGAAAU